AGCGGAGGUUCGUAAAUCAGAUGAGGAUGACUCAAGGUAACAGUUUGCCUGUACUCAAGUUGACAAAGAUAAUUAACAACUUCUAUGUACAUGUAUGCUGUGUGCUUAAAAACAGCUAACUAGAUAUAAUUUAUGUUAAAAGGCUUUCCCAAGAGAUUCCAUUUCAACAAUCUGCAGUUGAUGUUUCUGACUCGCCUGAGAGGAUAUUUCCAGACAUUCUGUGUGAACUAACUAAACGUGAUGAAACUGGUCCGACUGAGAGCUUUCCAGUAGACCAGUUGCAAGCACAGGGCUUGUCUCCACUACUUCCUGG